GUGCUUGCUUUGGCAGCACAUACACUGAAAUUGGAACGAUACAGAGAAGAUUAGCAUGACCCCUGCUCAAGGAUGGCAUGCAGAUAUGUGCAACGUUCCAUAUUUUU
ensembl:snRNA U6 U6 spliceosomal RNA